GUCCCUACGGGUGUCAGCAUUGGGGAAUCUUGCACACUUUUCUCAAUCCUGAUGCAGCAACGCCGCGUGAAGGAAGAAGGGUUUCGGCUCGUAAACUUCUAUCAACAGGGACGAAAGAAAUGACGGUACCUGAAUAAGAAGCCCCGGCUAACUACGUGCCAGCAGCCGCGGUAAUACGUAGGGGGCAAGCGUUAUCCGGAAUUACUGGGUGUAAAGGGUGAGUAGGCGGCAUGGUAAGCCAGAUGUGAAAGCCUUGGGCUUAACCCGAGGAUUGCAUUUGGAACUAUCAAGCUAGAGUACAGGAG
rnacentral:rRNA from 1 species